UUAUUUAUUUGUUUUUUAUUUGUUUUUGCACGCUUUGCCAAAUUUAUUGUUGUUGUUUCCUCAAUCAAGCCCUUGCUUCUGGAAUCUUUAAUUUCCCUCUGGAAUUUGCUUCCGGAAUUCUUCUUUCGCUUCCCGAAUACUUCCUUUUUGCUUCUGGGAAUCCGGUCUUUGCCUAUAUUUCCCGAAAUCCUUCGCUUGCAUCCGGAAUUUCAUCGUUGCCUCAGGUAUCCUUAAUUUGGCUCCGCAAUCAGUUUUGCCAUGUUCAGAAGUGCCAGGAUUCGUCCUUCACUCCCAGAAUCUCGGGUUUUGACUCCGGAAUCUUAUCUCUUGCUCCAGGAUUCCUUUAUGGUGCUUCCAGAAUCUUCGUCUCAUGUCUUCAGAAUCUUUUCCUUUGCUCCGGAAAUUUUGUCUCUUCCUCCAGAAUUUCCUCGUCAGUGCUCCUGGAAGGUUUUCGCUAUCUCGGAAUCUUGCCUUUUGCCUCGGGAUUCUUGUGCUUCGCCUAGAAAAAGCUGCUUUUGAUGUCCGUCAAAUUCAGCGACCUUCUGAACCUGCGGAGGUCAUUGGUCGAGCUGCGGGAUCCUCAUCAGCGAUUGGCUGCUUUUGAUGUCCGUCAAAGAACGUGCGGACUUGAUGUGUGGUGGAGAGAUUAAUAAUAAUUAAGCUAAAUUAGCUUAAUUGCAGCGAAGUUUUCACCUGUAAUAACGACAGAAGAGUGUCAUCUGCUCAUGCUGAAGUCAACAUGGUAAGAAAAAGGAGAAUAAAACCUGAAGAGGAUGCAAAAGAACACAUAUUGUCAGGCAAAGACAAGGCCUUCAUUGAGGGACGAGAAAUCAACACAUUUAAAGGGAGAGGUGUGUUUGCACUUGAACACAUUGAACCGUCCACCUUUGUUGUUGAAUAUCGUGGGAUUCUCUCUCAAAGUAAACAUGUUAAAGACAUUCAAAGCAGCUACUGGUUAGAUUUCACAUGGAAUGGAAAACGUUAUUGCAUAGAUGCUUCCAAAGGAGAUGGAACACUAGGCCGACUGGUGAAUGAUGAUCACAGAAAUCCAAACUGCAAAGUGAAGACAAUAAUUGUUGAAGGAAGGCCACACCUGUGCCUAUUUAGUAUGAGAUAUCUUUCCAGAUGACGAGGUUACAUACAACUAUGGAGAUUCCUCUUGGCCAAGGUUGCUGUGUGAAGACACAUCAGUGAGAGAGACUGAAUGUAGUAUCGAUACUUCCACUUCAGGGAAAGAGAAGGUGCCCUUUAAAGGCGAUUCAACUACAGUUGCCAAGAAAGGAGUUUCAGCUUGGACUGGAAAUGAAAUAGUAACUUGCACUUUAUAAUUGCCACCAUGAAGUUCACAGUGCUGUUAUCUCCAGUUUGGAUUCUUGUGAAGAGUGCACUGGACCUGUGUCAGGUCGAAAAUGGCUUUGUUUAACUUGCAAAUUAUGUUCAAGAUCAUGGCACAAAACCUGCUUCAUG